AGCGAACGCUGGCGGCAGGCCUAACACAUGCAAGUCGAACGAAGUCUUCGGACUUAGUGGCGGACGGGUGAGUAACACGUGGGAACGUACCUUUUGGUUCGGAAUAACGCAGGGAAACUUGCGCUAAUACCGAAUGUGCCCUUAGGGGGAGAGAUUUAUCGCCAUUAGAGCGGCCCGCGUUGGAUUAGGUAGUUGGUGUGGUAAAGGCGCACCAAGCCUACGAUCCAUAGCUGGUCUGAGAGGAUGGUCAGCCACACUGGGACUGAGACACGGCCCAGACUCCUACGGGAGGCAGCAGUGGGGAAUUUUGCGCAAUGGUCGAAAGACUGACGCAGCCAUGCCGCGUGAAUGAUGAAGGUCUUAGGAUUGUAAAAUUCUUUUAGCAGGGACGAUAAUGACGGUACCUGCAGAAAAAGCCCCGGCUAACUUCGUGCCAGCCGCCGCGGUAAUAC
rnacentral:rRNA from 1 species